rnacentral:rRNA from 1 species
UACGUAGGGUGCGAGCGUUAAUCGGAAUUACUGGGCGUAAAGCGUGCGCAGGCUGUUCUGUAAGUCAGAUGUGAAAUCCCCCGAGCUCAACUUGGGAACUGCGUUUUGAAACUACAGGACUAGAAUAUGUCAGAGGGGGGGUAGAAUUCCACGUGUAGCAGUGAAAUGCGUAGAGAUGUGGGAGGAAUACCGAAUGGCGAAG